AUUGAACGCUGGCGGAAUGCCUAACACAUGCAAGUCGAGCGGGGGUAGCAAUACUUCAGCGGCGGACGGGUGAGGAACACAUAGGAAUCUGCCUUUAGGUUGGGGAUAGCCAGGGGAAACUCUGGGUAAUACCGCAUGAUCUCGAGAGAGCAACGGGGCGCAAGUCUCGCCUUUAGAGGAGCCUAUGUCUGAUUAGCUAGUUGGCGGUGUAAUGGACCACCAAGGCGAUGAUCAGUAACUGGUCUGAAAGGACGAUCAGUCACACCGGAACUGAGACACGGUCCGGACUCCUACGGGAGGCAGCAGUGGGGAAUAUUGGACAAUGGGCGAAAGCCUGAUCCAGCAAUUCCGCGUGUGUGAAGAAGGCCUUCGGGUUGUAAAGCACUUUAGUUGGGGAAGAAACAGCUUGGCCACACCAAGCCUUGACGGUACCCAAAGAAUAAGCACCGGCUAACUCUGUGCCAGCCGCCGCGGUAACAC
rnacentral:rRNA from 1 species